GACGAACGCUGGCGGCGUGCCUAAUACAUGCAAGUAGAACGCACAGUUUAUACCGUAGCUUGCUACACCAUAGACUGUGAGUUGCGAACGGGUGAGUAACGCGUAGGUAACCUGCCUGGUAGCGGGGGAUAACUAUUGGAAACGAUAGCUAAUACCGCAUAAUAUUAAUUAUUGCAUGAUAAUUAAUUGAAAGGUGCAAUUGCACCACUACCAGAUGGACCUGCGUUGUAUUAGCUAGUAGGUGAGGUAACGGCUCACCUAGGCGACGAUACAUAGCCGACCUGAGAGGGUGGUCGGCCACACUGGGACGGUGACACGGCCCAGACUCCUACGGGAGGCAGCAGUAGGGAAACUUCGGCAAUGGACGAAAGUCUGACCGAGCAACGCCGCGUGAGUGAAGAAGGUUUUCGGAUCGUAAAGCUCUGUUGUAAGAGAAGAACGGGUGUGAGAGUGGAAAGUUCACACUGUGACGGUAUCUUACCAGAAAGAGACGGCUAACUACGUG
rnacentral:rRNA from 1 species